rnacentral:sRNA from 1 species
AACCUAUCAUAGGCACUAAAGAGGAAAAGCCUUUGAAGCAGGCAUGAGUACAUGCAAUGUUAUAAUUCAUAUGAAUAUGAGGUACAAAAGAAGAGGUGUUGAUGUUUUAAAAACAUUAAUGGCUAUUUAUUGAUAUUGCAGACCACCUAGAGAAUGCUAAAUUGAACAUUUAGUGACAGAAGAUUUUCUCCUGGAUACUUUAAAUACAUAAAAACUUGGCAGAGUUUUUAUGAAAUAUAAAUUUUAUUGUAUUCAUUUACAUAUUAAAAAAUAGACUCAGAGGCGGAAAAACUUCCUUGAAAUUGUUUGUCAUUUGUUCUACAGUUACUUACUGAAGUCAUUACUAUUUACCAAGCAUCAUGCUAGGUGCUAGGCUUACAAGAGUGAACAAGGAGACAGGGUUCCUGUCAUUAUAGAGCUGAAUCUACUGGGGAAGAUUGAGUGGGAAAGAUUGACUUAAAUAAAACAGUAAGUUCAGAAAGUUAGGAAGUGUUGGAGUCUAUAUUUAAACUUGGGUAUUUUGACCCAAAAGCCUGUACUGUUUCUAACAUACCAUGCUGAUGCUCUAGCCUCCAUUUUAUAUGCUUAAACUUAUUAUGGGGCUUUUAAAUAGAAUAUGUAUUAUCCUUGCCAGGGCAAAAUAUAAAGAAAUAAUUGACUGCCUGCUAUAUCUGUCUUCACCUUUCUAUCCCUAUUAUCUGUUUUUUUAUUCCUCUUUUUUGUCUCCCUUGUUUCUUACCCUGACUUAUGUAUGAAGAUCUCUAGUAUUUCUUUACUAUUGUGAGGAUGACCAGCGGAGAGGCUAGACAGCAACAAGCAGAAUUGGCCCAACAGGAAUGGCUUCAAAUGCAGCAAGCUGCCCAACAAGCCCAGCUUGCUGCUGCCUCAGCCAGUGCAUCUAAUCAGGCGGGAUCUUCUCAGGAUGAAGAAGAUGAUGAUGAUAUCUGAAAUUCACCAGCUGAGUUUCUAUUUCUUCUAUAAAUGUUUUUCCCUGCACAACAAAAACAGUGAAAGAAAUGCUUAUCUGUAAUUUUGUAUGCAUCUUGGUGGACUUGUCAUUGGUAUUCUAGGGAUGUCUGCUAUUAAGUUUCAUCUAUUGUGUGCUAUACAUGUAAAAACUGUCUCUUUGAACUAUUGAAAAUUUAAGGUUCAGUAUAAUAUCAAUUUUGAAUUUUUAAUGGUGUUUAUGAAAUUUUAGAUAGCAGCGAGUCCUUCAUUUGAUCAAUAAACAGUGUUACAGAUAA